rnacentral:lncRNA from 1 species
CCCUAAGUCAUAUUGUGAGAAAAAAUAUUUAGCCCGCACUUGGCUGAGCAGUGGUAAACAGAGUUCACCUCUCGAAGGGUCAAACAAACAUCAGAAACUUGGUGCUCGGUUAGAAGAAGAGACCCAAUUCCUUCUACGACAGAACCAACUUCAGCUAGCACCGGCUCUGUUGAGUGGACCAGGUUCACCACCUCACCACCAGAGUCCGUCUGCUGGUGAGACAUGCAAACUGACAGCAAGGACCACAGCAAUGGCAACUGGUAAUUUCAUUUGCU